AGCACAUUUACUCAAUGUGUGAGCCAUAUGUUUUGAUGUACUUGAACAUAGCCAUCACUAUGCAAGAAAUAACCGUGCACUUGUUCGUUUGAGUCUGCUUUAAAUUAUGUAAAACUUGCUUAAAAAGGCAUCCAAAAUGUGCAGUUUUUCUUAAAAAAAAAAUGCAAGAUCUAACAUAUGAAUAUUAUUGUUAUAAUCUGUUGCAGAACACAGGGUUUUAGCAUCAUUAAGACGAGUAGAUCCUGAAGGAAUGGAACUGCGCAGGUUACACCUUAGGACGUCCCGACGCCGACGUUACAGUGUACCAGCUCCCAACAGUGUCUGGCACAUUGAUGGGAACCAUAAACUUAUUCGAUGGAAAAUUGUUAUCCACGGGGGUACUGACGGCUAUUCCCGACUUAAAAGCUGCUACAAACAACAAGGCUCAAACAGUGCUGCAAAGCUUCCUGUCUGCUGUACAAAUAUAUGGUGUUCCCUCUAGAGUGCGUUCUGACAAGGGGGGGGAAUGUAAUGGUUGCCCGCUUCAUGAUAAAAACAAGGGAAACAAACAGACAUUCACACAUUACAGGAAGAAGUGUGCACAACCAGAGAAUUGAGCGGCUGUGGAGAGAUGUCUUUGACCAAGUAACAGACCUCUUCUACACCACCUUUCGUCAGUUGGAAAAUGAAGGAUGGCUUAAUCCAGACCAGGAUGUGGACUUGUUUGCAUUGCACUGGUCUUACAUGCCACAAAUUCAGAGGAAUCUACAAGAAUUUCGGAGUGCCUGGAAUAGUCACAGUCUAAGAUCUGCAGGCAACAGAACUCCUCUGCAGCUUUGGUCAAAUCAUGAGAGGGAUGACCCAAAUCUGGUCAUUUUGCAGUGAUUUAGUUAAUUACUUUACUUUUUUUCUUCUUCCCCCAUUUAUUUCUUCACUGAUUAAUUGUUUGAUACAAUGGAAAAUUUAAGAGUAAAAAUUGAAACUUAAGUACUGAUCGAUUGUUUUUUUCAAAUUACUGUUUUAAAUUAAGUCUUCUAAAUGAUUUAUUCAUAUUGUAACUGUUUUAGAUUGACAUUGAUGAUGAAGUCAGGGAAGACCUUGAAGGGCAACAAGCAGAAGGUGUUCAUGUUCCUGAGUUGGAUCUACCUCGUGGCUUGACUGAAGAAGAGUUGGUAACACUACCAAACCCGGAUGUACCUUUUUCAGAUGCACUGUCUGUCUACAUGGAAACAGUUCUUGCUAUAAAACAAAUGCUUGGUGAAUCAUAGUCUUCUCUUUUAAAGGUUUACAUACUUUAGGCAUAGAAAUUGUAUAUGUGCUUAUCAGACAGGCCAGUUGUAUUGUUGAUCAGGAACCACCGACACAGUAACAUCUGAAAAAACAUUUCAUUUAAUUUAUGCAUUAACAUACUGUAAAGAACAUUUUAAACCCCUCAUUAAAGUUGGAAUGAACAAUGUCAGAAUAGCCACUGUUAAAAUUGGUUGCAAGAUAAACAUUUAUGCAUCAAUUAUUAAGUGUUUACAUAAGUUUUUUUUUUUAAGAUACUUUUUUGCAAUGGACAAAUCCUGUAGUAUGAACUAUAGUGCAUUGUCACUGAACAAUAAAACCGCUGAACAACUGUAACAUU